UUACUCCUGUCUCCACGCCCGAAAUGUCCUCCCUUGCCCCGUUCUCCAGAAAGUUGUAAUCGGGAGGAAAAGCCGUAAAUUAGAGGCAGGAGAGUGUCCGGAGGAGCACUACCAGUACAGUGAAAGGUCCCAAGACUGUGCCUUUGGAGGAUCAGUAGAAGGAAACGGUCUCACGGAUGUCUACCGUGGAACGGGCACUCAAUAAAGAUCAUGUCGUUGGUUGAAACGAUCACUGCGUUGGCUUUGGCCAUCGAUUUCAUUGUCUUUGGCCAUCAGUCAGCAUCCUGGUGAAAGUCAUUACUAGGAGCUAACCUGAGAUGGAUUUGGAACAAUCUUCUGAAGACUCCCCAAUUCUAAAGAUCUCAGCCUUCUCUUAAAGCACCAUUUAUUCCUUGACUCUGGCCAGAAUUGCCCUUCUGUAGGAGACAGACUUAUUGAUGCCCUGUGUCCCAGCUAUAGAACAGGCAGGGUCUAAGGGGACACACACACACACACACAAGUGAGCCCAUG
rnacentral:lncRNA from 1 species